CAUUUUCUAAGGAGCUUGAAAUUCCGGGAGGUGUGGAAGAAGACUACUCAAAAUGGCAGCAGGUUUGAAUGUUCACAGAAGCAGCUGUUGUUCUUCCAAACCCAGGGACAACAGAACUGUGGUGUAGUCUUGCUCCCUUGCCGUGGGACCCAGAUGUGGCACAUACCUCCAGACCUCAUACAGAAGUUCCUCUUCUAAGUGAAUAAGAAUGGUCUUCUCACAUAAUGCAGGGAUGGAAGAAGAUACUUGGAAAAAUCAGGGAAGAGUGAAGAAGAUACUUCAAAAAAUCGGGGAAGAUUUUCAUCAUAAGGUCCAAGCAAAGGCAUGAGUAUAAGAUGUGUGUAUGUGAUACAUAAGAUUUACUUCUAAACAA
ensembl:lincRNA